UUAGCUUGCUUUAGGCACGAGUUAGAAGUGUUGGACUCCCUGGAUGUCAAUGGCUUUCAAAUGGCAGGGUACCCUUGAAACUAGAUGAAUAUCCAGGACCCUCUACCUACUUUCUCAGUGUUCAGCUGUUGUGCUUUGGAAAUCAGAUGCUUGCUUAAUAAAUCUACUUGUGAGCCAGUCUUUCAAAACUCAGUACUGAGAGGCUACAUCUGGGAAAUGAGUGUUCUGUAAGAGUCGAAAAUGACUGGAUCUAAGCAAAGUCUUGAGUUUGACACAGAGAUACAGACAUUUGAACUUUGGGGAAGAUAUUCUGGAAUGGAAAUUCUUAGAAAUUUAAGAUUUUCCUGCCUUCUCCUGCUG